rnacentral:rRNA from 1 species
AGGCCGAAAGGCGUAGUCGAUGGGAACCAGGUCAAUAUUCCUGGGCCAUGUGGUGGUGACGGAUCGCAGGGGUAGUUCUUCCUUAUCGGAUUGGAAGGGCUGCUGAGCGGUUCCUGGAAAUAGCCCCACUUUUAGACCGUACCCUAAACCGACACAGGUGGACUGGUAGAGAAUACCAAGGCGCUUGAGAGAACGAUGUUGAAGGAACUCGGCAAAAUACCUCCGUAAGUUCGCGAGAAGGAGGCCCGGGUCCUACGCAAGUGGAAUCCGGGGGCACAAACCAGGGGGUGGCGACUGUUUAUUAAAAACACAGGGCUCUGCGAAGUCGCAAGACGACGUAUAGGGUCUGACGCCUGCCCGGUGCCUGAAGGUUAAAAGGAGGGGUGAGAGCUCCGAAUUGAAGCCCAGGUAAACGGCGGCCGUAACAAUAA